UUACGACCACAUCACAAUGAAAUACUGGUCCCUGUAUGAUUACCAAAGUUAAGCAACGUCGAGCCUGUUUAAUAGCUAGAUGGGUAACCGCUUGGGAAUACCAGGUGCUGUAAG